rnacentral:rRNA from 1 species
UACGUAGGGUGCGAGCGUUAAUCGGAAUUACUGGGCGUAAAGAGUGCGUAGGCGGUUCUUGAAGUCCGCUGUGAAAGCCCCGGGCUUAACCUGGGAAUGGCAGUGGAAACUGGGGGACUUGAAUUGAGCAGAGGGGGGUGGAAUUUCCGGUGUAGCGGUGAAAUGCGUAGAGUAUCGGGAAGGAACAUCAGUGGCGAAAGCGAACUUCCUGGACCAAUACUGACGCUCAUGUGCGAAAGCGUGGGGAGCAAACAGG